rnacentral:misc_RNA from 1 species
AUUUUUAUAUAAAGACCUUGCCUAUGUCCAUGUAUGGGAAAUCUUUCGUCCAAUGAUACUAUCAAACUCAAUGGAAAACUUAUGGUCUUUCUAUUCCGAACAAAUGGACGACCAGAAGGGUGUGGAUUUGUCUUCUUGCUUGCUCCUUGAAGCUUCUGGUGAUUCUGAGGUUGAUUUUGAUCCCAACUUAGCCAUUAAUGAUCUGGUUGAUGAUGACGCAGAAUCAUGCAGCUGUGAUGUGUCAG